GGUAUAGUGGUUUAAGUGCCAGACUAUGACUCUGGAGAUCAGGGUUUGAAUCCCUGCUUUGCCA
rnacentral:tRNA from 1 species